AGAAUGAACGCUGGCGGCAUGCCUAACACAUGCAAGUCGAACGAAACCUUCGGGUUUAGUGGCGCACGGGUGCGUAACGCGUGGGAAUCUACCCCUUGGUUCGGAAUAACAGUUGGAAACGACUGCUAAUACCGGAUGAUGACGUAAGUCCAAAGAUUUAUCGCCGAGGGAUGAGCCCGCGUAGGAUUAGGUAGUUGGUGUGGUAAAGGCGCACCAAGCCGACGAUCCUUAGCUGGUCUGAGAGGAUGAUCAGCCACACUGGGACUGAGACACGGCCCAGACUCCUACGGGAGGCAGCAGUGGGGAAUAUUGGACAAUGGGCGAAAGCCUGAUCCAGCAAUGCCGCGUGAGUGAUGAAGGCCUUAGGGUUGUAAAGCUCUUUACCGGAUGAUAAUGACAGUACGGAGAAUAAGCGUCCGGCUAACUCCGUGCCAGCAGCCGC
rnacentral:rRNA from 1 species